rnacentral:rRNA from 5 species
GGUAGGUGAACCUGCCGUUGGAUCAGU